rnacentral:lncRNA from 1 species
AUGUGUUCUCCAGAGGCUGCUUGUCUGGACAGCUGCCCUGGCCAGUCCUGCCGUCUGGCCCGGGCCCCUGAGCACCCAGAAUGCCUCCCACAGGAGGACGUGGCCUCCCGACACCCACGUGUGUCUGAAGGGCGUGAAGGGUGUCAUCUGACCCGGGGGGCGGGUGCUGUCAGAGCAGUUUACCUACAUUGCUGGCUUCCUGGAGGCGUCGGGUCACCCCAGGGCUCGGCUCCCUCCUCCCGACCUGUGCUCCCCUGGGGGUCCCACCUCGCAGUCCUCCCUCCUCCCAGCCUGUGCUCCCACUGGGGGCUCCCACCCCCCAGUCCUCCCUCCUCCCGGUCUGUGCUCCACUGGGGGCUCCCACCCUGCAGUCCUCCCUCCUCCCGGUCUGUGCUCCCACUGGGGGCUCCCACCCUGCAGUCCUCCCUCCUCCCGGUCUGUGCUCCCACUGGGGGCUCCCACCCUGCAGUCCUCCCUCCUCCCGGUCUGUGCUCCCACUGGGGGCUCCCACCUCCCAGCCUGUGCUCCCACUGGGGGCUCCCACCUGCAGUCCUCCCUCCUCCUGGCCUGUACUCCCCCUGGGGGCUCCCACCCCCCAGUCCUCCCUCCUCCCAGCCUGUGCUCCCCCUGGGGGCUCCCACCUCCCAGCCUGUGCUCCCACUGGGGGCUCCCACCUGUCAGUCCUCCCUCCUCCUGGCCUGUGCUCCCCCUGGGGGCUCCCACCCCCCAGUCCUCCCUCCUCCCGGCCUGUGCUCCCCCUGGGGGCUCCCACCUCCCAUUCCUCCCUCCUCCCGGCCUGUGCUCCCCCUGGGGGCUCCCACCCCCCAGUCCUCCCUCCUCCCAGCCCGUGCUCCCACUGGGGGCUCCCACCUCCCAGUCCUCCCUCCUCCCGGUCUGUGCUCCCACUGGGGGCUCCCACCUCCCAGUCCUCCCUCCUCCCGGCCUGUGCUCCCACUGGGGGCUCCCACCCCGCAGUCCUCCCUCCUCCUGGCCUGUACUCCCCCUGGGGGCUACCACCUCCCAUUCCUUCCUCCUCCUGGCCUGUGCUCCCACUGGGGGCUCCCACCUGCAGUCCUCCCUCCUCCCGGUCUGUGCUCCCACUGGGGGCUCCCACCCUGCAGUCCUCCCUCCUCCUGGCCUGUACUCCCCCUGGGGGCUACCACCUCCCAUUCCUUCCUCCUCCUGGUCUGUGCUCCCACUGGGGGCUCCCACCCCGCAGUCCUCCCUCCUCCCAGCCUGUGCUCCCCCUGGGGGCUUCCAUCCCUCAGUCCUCCCUCCUCCCAGCCUGUGCUCCCCCUGGGGGCUCCCACCCCUCAGUCCUCCCUCCUCACCUCCCACUGUCCCAGGGGGUGUGGUGGGGAGUGA